GUCAGACUCCCUGUACAAUAGCUGUUUGUCCCAUACAAACCUCUCACCCUCUGCCCCGGGUUGGUCAGAGGUGACCUUGUCUCUAUAUACUUGUAAGGUAGGGUCAGUGAUCACCUCUGCCGAAAAUUCGUUAGGGGGAGCAGCGGUUGGUGGGGGUGGUAGUUGUCGGGGUGUUGCUGUUGUGUUGGUGGGGUAGCUUGUCCCUCCUAGGGGUCUUACUGCGGUCUUGAUGACUACAGGUUUUUGUUGUCUGCAAGCCUCCAUCUAGUCAUCUGCUUUCCUAGCUGCCUCAGUGAGGGAUGUAGGGUUGCGGUCCCUUACCCAUUCCUGGACAUCUGUUGGUACCCCAUCAUAGAAUUGUUCCAACAGCAGCAUUUGUAAUAUGUCAUCCAUGGACCGUGCUUUGUUAGCCUGUACCCAUCCAAGGGCCGCCCGAUGUAGUCUACAAGCUCACUCUGCGUGCAAAUCUUUCUCCGCUUUCUUUAGUUCCCUGAACCACCUUCGGUAUGCCUCUGGUGUGAUGGCAUACCAGGCCAAUAUAAUUUCCUUUACCUGACUGUAGUCACGGAUUUCUUCGUCCGGUACAGUGCGGUAAGCUUCUGCUGCUCUCCUGUUUAGUCGCCCAGCUAGAAUGGGGACCCAAUCCUCUGAGCUGACUUUAUGCAAGGCACACAGUCU